rnacentral:rRNA from 1 species
GACGAACGCUGGCGGCGUGCCUAAUACAUGCAAGUCGAACGAACCGCGACUAGGUGCUUGCACUUGGUCAAGGUGAGUGGCGAACGGGUGAGUAACACGUGGGUAACCUACCUCAUAUUGGGGGAUAACAGUCGGAAACGACUGCUAAUACCGCAUAGGCAAUAGGAUCACAUGAUUCUGUGAGGAAAGGUGGCGCAAGCUAUCGCUAGGAGAUGGACCCGCGGUGCAUUAGCUAGUUGGUAGGGUAAAGGCCUACCAAGGCGAUGAUGCAUAGCCGACCUGAGAGGGUGAUCGGCCACAUUGGGACUGAGACACGGCCCAAACUCCUACGGGAGGCAGCAGUAGGGAAUCUUCCGCAAUGGACGCAAGUCUGACGGAGCAACGCCGCGUGAGUGAAGAAGGUCUUCGGAUCGUAAAGCUCUGUUGUUAGAGAAGAACAGCGCAUAGAGUAACUGUUAUGCGUGUGACGGUAGCUAACCAGAAAGCCACGGCUAACUACGUG